rnacentral:rRNA from 1 species
UACGUAGGUGGCAAGCGUUGUCCGGAAUUAUUGGGCGUAAAGCGCGCGCAGGCGGUCCUUUAAGUCUGAUGUGAAAGCCCACGGCUCAACCGUGGAGGGUCAUUGGAAACUGGGGGGACUUGAGUGCAGGAGAGAAGAGUGGAAUUCCACGUGUAGCGGUGAAAUGCGUAGAGAUGUGGAGGAACACCAGUGGCGAAGGCGACUCUUUGGCCUGUAACUGACGCUGAGGCGCGGAAAGCGUGGGGGAGCAAACAGG